GCUCCAUUGUCUCGCUGGCUCACUAUUUCAACCAUCCACUCCAUCUUCGGUGCACUUCUCUACUAUUGUUUUGAGAUUUAGUUGAUAAUUUGCAUCAUGUGUCACCUAUCUCACUAUAAAAACAAUGGUUAUUGAGCCCCAUAGAUUUCAUAUGAUAUUCUGAACCAGGACUCUGUUAUCUAAAAUUUGCAAUGACAUAUAAGAACCUACAUUUACAAAUGGAGCAAAGUAUCUCUUUUGUUUCUGUGGAAACUGCUGAAGAUUUUCCUUUGCUUCUUGAACACAAAAUUUUUGCCUCUCUCAAAAUCGGAGAUUUUGUAGUAGAUUUUCUCAGAUACUAUAUAAUCGAUCGGAAACUUUAUGUUUGAAUCCCAUUUGCUAACAGACAUUAGUCUAUGUGCUUAGAAUAUCUUUAAACUGUAAAACCUAUUUUACUCACUUUUCCCUGCCAGUGAUUAGGUAGACGAUCAUGAAUUGGCCAGUAUGUUAGUAUAAUAUUUUAUUUUACUUCACUCUUCAUGCCCUUAUUAUGAUAAUUGAGAUUUUGAUUAUAGAGUAUCUUGCCAAAGCCUCACUACGAAUUAUGGUGUAAUUUCCUGAUGAUAAAUGUAGAUAACCUUAUCAUAUCAUGCGACGGACUUCAUUUCACCUCGUUUGGAAACAAGAUUUUGUUUGAAGAGGUGCUCAAGAUGCUGGAAUAUAUUGGUUUUAGCCAAAAAAUUCUCUGGUCGGAUCUCCCGUUGUUCCUUGAAAUUGACCCAAAAGAUCCAUUGAAAGCAUUGGAAAUUUGAACAAGGUACUUUAUGGUUUGAUUAAUCAUAAGGCAAGCUCUGCUUGGUUUGAACUCUUGUGUAUUUAUCAUGGUAAUUGGAACACUUUAUGCCAUGGGCGCGACAUGUUUAGAAGAUGUGAUUUAUGUUCCAUGUAUUCCGUAAGAAGUGAUCAUGCCAUUCUACGGUUUGCUAGCAAAAAAGACAGUGAAGUUAAAUGGCAUUUUCUAUUAUUUUCCUGUACAUCGUCUUAGCGGCUUUUAUGGUUGUCCAGUCAAAUACCACACUAAUGUGCCAGUUUAGCACAUUCUUACCCGUUGGCACAUCGUCUUAGCGGCUUUUAUGGUUGUUUAAGUUUCCCCAGUCUUUGCUGCCACGCGCAUCACAGGUAUGAUAAAUUUCUUCCGUCUAGCUAUUUUUCAUUUUUGACAUAAUGUGUGUCAUCAUCUCUGUUAUCUGAUUUGUUAGACAGUGCUAGACGGAGGAAAUAUUAGAGUACAACUACGAUUUCUCUUGGCUUAAUGUAAAAUGUCACUCUGUUGGUCUCUCGGCUUAUUAUAAAGUAUUCCACAAAAUGUUUUACCCAGCGAUUGACUAUGUAAAAGGUUGGAUGGCCUGCCGAUUGAUUGACUUAUUUUAUGAUUAUUAUCAUCGAUUUGUAUAAAUGUUCCACACAUUUUGCCAGCUGUUUACGAGUGCAGACAGGGUCGCAGGCAAGGUCAUCUAAGGCACGCAUCAAAAUCCCAGAUUCCCUUUUGCAGGCAAAGAACAAGCUGACCAUGUCGCAGGCAAGAGAUGGAGCAUGUAUGGAUUGAAGGAGUGAAGAAGUUGAAAUAUUAGCAAUAUAUUAAUUAAUUUCAAACAACAAGGGAGAUCCAAAAUGAAUGAUAGCAUUUUCUGGGUCAUCGCACUUUCCUCUAAGUUGUUGUCCUGCUUCCACAAACAAUGCCAUGGGUAUGUAUGUUAGAGCACCGGCCUCUUCUCUGUCUUUUGUCUCCAACUAAGUUUUAUUUCUUCCACAAUUGUUACCUAUCACUAUGUAUGUCCAUAUUUAUUACUGAGGAGUAUAUCCCUUAGUUUUUUCUGCUAUUAAGAAUUUUAGAAUAGCUACGAUUCUCUUAUUUUUUCUGUGUGGGUAUAUAUAUUGACAUUGCACUUGCUGCGAAAUGUCCUGCUAUACAGGGAUGCCCCCUUUUCUUGCAGCAUUAGGCGAGAGUAGCACUGGCAGCUGCUGCAUUGCAACUUCGAGCCGAGUGCAAGCAUGACUUCCCACUGGGAUAUGUACAAAAGUUCAAGGGAUCGAGCACUAAGCCAACUAUUUGACAACCAGGGAUAAUGGUACCCUGCACCAACGGACCCUACUGCCGAGGAGGGAAAGAGCAGCUUAUUCACAAAAGGUGUAUAUCUUAUGCUUUUUACUAUAUUGUGGUUGCACACUGCCACUGAACUUUUGGAUCGAUUUGUAUAUUUAUAUGUUGUUUUUUGGCCACAACACCCGAACAACAGAAUGGUUUUUCCCAUAUACCUGUCCAUUUGAUUGAACA